AGUUAAGUAAGGGCGUAUGGCGGAUGCCUAGGCUCUCAGAGGCGAAGAAGGACGUGAUAAGCUGCGAAAAGUUACGGGGAGAAGCACAUAUUUUAUGAUCCGUAAAUAUCCGAAUGGGGCAACCCGGUACAGUGAAGCUGUAUCACCUCGUAAGAGGGGCAAACCCGGUGAACUGAAACAUCUAAGUAACCGGAGGAAGAGAAAACAAUAGUGAUUCCGUUAGUAGUGGCGAGCGAACGCGGAUUAGCCCAAA
rnacentral:rRNA from 11 species